rnacentral:rRNA from 1 species
CCCUUAGAUGUUCUGGGCUGCACACGUGCUACACUGGCAGGUUCAGCGAGCUUCAUGCCCUGAUCUGAAAGGAAUGGGAAAUCUUUUCAAAACCUGCCGUGCUUGGGAUAGAUGUUUGCAAUUAUUCAUCUUCAACGAGGAUUGCCUUGUAAGCGCACGUCAUCAGCGUGCAUUGAAUACGACCCUGUAUUCUGUACACACCGCCCGUCGCUCCUACCGAUUGAAGUUUUCGGUGAGUUGACAGGAGGAUUUUUUUGAAACUGGUUCGCCAGUGGAUUUUAGAUUCAAAUGCCAACGAAUCGAUGGCUUUAGAGGAAGGAGAAGUCGUAACA